rnacentral:rRNA from 1 species
GUAGUCAUAUGCUUGUCUCAAAGAUUAAGCCAUGCAUGUCUAAGUAUAAGCAAUUUAUACAGUGAAACUGCGAAUGGCUCAUUAAAUCAGUUAUCGUUUAUUUGAUAGUUCCUUUACUACAUGGUAUAACUGUGGUAAUUCUAGAGCUAAUACAUGCUUAAAAUCUCGACCUCUUGGAAGAGAUGUAUUUAUUAGAUAAAAAAUCAAUGUCUUCGGACUUUUUGAUGAUUCAUAAUAACUUUUCGAAUCGCAUGGCCUUGUGCUGGCGAUGGUUCAUUCAAAUUUCUGCCCUAUCAACUUUCGAUGGUAGGAUAGUGGCCUACCAUGGUUUCAACGGGUAACGGGGAAU